rnacentral:ncRNA from 1 species
ACGAAGAUCCCGGGGUGCCUGACACAGGCUGAGAUUAAACCCGUUUAACCUGAUCUGCAUAAUGGCAGCGUAGGUAGUGAGUUCGUUUCGAAAG